rnacentral:pre_miRNA from 1 species
AUCCCCUGGGGAUCUUGUUAAAAUUCAGAUUCUGAUUCAGUAAGUCUUGGAUGGGGGUGACUGAGAUUCUGCAUUUCUAACAAGCUCUCUGGUGAUGGUGA